GGGGAGUGUUCGGGGCCGGGGCUGCUUUUAUUGUCUUCACAUGUUUAACAUCAGAGCUGUUCUAUGUUAGCUUUUCCAAGGCUCAUGACCAGACUUCCUCCUUUGCCAAAGACACUGGCAUUAGAAUGGCAAACCUAUAGAAGGUGAGGAGCUCAUUUACUAGAAUUGGGGGUUAUAGGAUUUUGUCAAACAUGUGUGACUUGAUGAUGUGAAAAAUGAACCACUGGGAGUGACAGAUUACAUGUUGAAUGCAGAUGUACAAAUAUGAUUUGAUAGGUGAGUGAAGAUUUCAUGUUGUGGUUUGUGGUAUGUGCCUGUGUCAAUGGCUAUGUUCCUUUAGUAUAACUAAGCUAAUCCUUUU
rnacentral:misc_RNA from 1 species